rnacentral:tRNA from 1 species
GACGUAGUUCAGUUGGUUAGAGCGUCAGAUUGUGGUUCUGAAUGUCGUCGGUUCGAGUCCGACCUUC